GGUUUGAGGGACAACUGCGUGAACAUCCCAGAAAACCUAAAUGCGACCAACAAAGAUAUCAACCUCGGGAAGAGGUGGGCGGUAACCGACUACCUGGAGUCCUACAAGGAAGGUUCGCCAACCAGGUAAACACAUCGAGAUAUCAACCGC
rnacentral:rRNA from 1 species